AGCCAGCAGUCAGAACAGACACAACCAGAACACACUUGGAGGAGAGGAGGAGUUGGAACUCAGAUGAGGAGGUUAGUAGGGGUCUACAGUCCUACAGAACUGUAAUACAGCCUACGGAAACGAGUUUGAAAACGGAAAAGUAUGCUGAAUAAACUGCUUAUGACCCAACAUCAUUCCAAAGCAGAGUUGAGACUAUUGUAUAGCCGUGCACAGUGUAAGGCAUGAAGGUUGGACGAGGAUCCAGGUGAGUUAGGUAAUGGAAGAGGGACGUGACAAAGCAUGCAGAACCGAAAGCCUCAGGAUGAGAUGAAGAAGGAGUGAAGGAAUCAUAUUAAAGAAAACUAGAGGAAAACCACCUUUCAGGUAGAGGGUCAAGAAGGCCCAGGACUAAGAAGAGCCUGAAAGGUCUCCAGGGAAUGUGACACUGGUGCAAAAGGGAAACGGAGUAAUAAUAAGUUGCUGAGAAAUCAGAUUAAACUUUGCUGGUAUUUGCUAUCUGUAGAUAGCUUAUGUUCCUGAAGUUCCUUUCCUGAGUAGCAGAGUUUAAUGGUGUCUCUUAACUGUCAGUAUUCUGUGUGAGCAUUGAGAGUUGAAAGAUAGAAUUACAGUGACACAAGGUGGGGAAUUUAUUAUUCAAAGAAAAACCAGAUUGAAGCGGGAUGUCGUGGUUGUAGAUGCCCUGUCUAUGAAGGACAAAUCUCCCUUUUCGUUCUGGAGUGCAGUUCAUAUACCCUUUAGAACCUGAAUCUAUAUUAUUAGGGCAAACCAUAUAAAAUUGUCUGGGUUUUUUAGUAUUUUAUAUUGGAUGUC
rnacentral:lncRNA from 1 species